AGUUAUUAGAGAGGAGAUAUAUAUAUACACACACACACUGCAGUCUAUACAUACAUCUGUGGAAGGCAUGCUCAGGAAUUAUAGCAACAUAUAAACCACUCAAGUCUUCAUAUACUAUAAGUUAUGACUUCUGAUUAUUUAAAAUCAUGAGAGGAUAACUGGAUAAAGAUCAUCCAUUUUAUGAAAAAUGAAACUCAAAGCAGAAGUGUUCCAGUGAAAGUUUUCUGAAUUCUUCUAAUCCUCUGCCUCUUCCAAACAACAAAUAAGGAGUCACCAGUUCUGCCCAGUAUCACAAAUCAUUUCAGUCCACCUGAAACAACUUACUUUGCUUGUUCACUCUGCACAGAGAAGAGUUUUGUCCUUCCAUGAGCCUAGUGGAAGGUGGAGGAGACCCCAUCAGGGCACUUCCUGGGACACUGGCAGCACAUAGACCUUGCUUCUGGAACCACAUCUCCUGCUGCUCUUUUACAAUCACGACUCAAAACAACUGAAUAGUACCUGUGCCUGCUCCCCAGAAUGGGAAAGGUCUUGGUUCAUUCCCUUUUGUUUUUCUUCUAAAUUCUUUUCCUCACCCAGGGGAGUGACUCCUGCACACAGUGGGUCUCUCCUGCCUGGCAUCAGCACAUACCUGGGGGUACUGGCCACAGCCCAAAGUCUUGGCAGUACCUUGAGAAGAGAGUAAGGAAAAGGGCAAGGAAAAACAAUGACAACAAGGGGCUCAUUGCUGGAUAUGAGUGAACUUACUAUUACUGACCUCAGAAAUUGGACAACCACAGGAGGUAUGAUCAACCAUCUGCAAAAUUUUUGAGAAUUAAUUUGAGAUCUCGGUCCAAUUUCUUCUGGCCAUAAUAAACACUGAGCUAAGUGGAGUUUUCCUUUCCCAGGAAAAAGCACCAAGACUGAAAUGUGGGAGCUUAGUUAACAGAAACCCAUGGUGCAAAGAUCCAACCUGUGUGCUGAGAACAUUUCUGGUGCCCUUGAGCUGCUGCCAUUUUUCAGUCAAAAUGUAUGUGCUGGAAUUUUAAAAUCUGCACUGAAUGCUGAUUUAUAACAUUUGACGUAAGUUACAUGCAUGGUAUGUUAAAUGACUAUUGAACCAAAACUCACAGUGAUUUAAGGCCAGGAUUUCACCAAAGUGUGUCCUCAUCCAUCCUCAUCCCCAUCCAGACCCAAAGCCAAUAAAGAACUUUUUGGUUUUUCCUUUGGACAUCACUGAGCUUUGGAUUUUGUGUAUAUUGCCAGAAAACGAAAUCAACAAAAGCAGUACAGGCUGCAAGAUGUUUUCACACUGUUAAGGAUAGAAAUGACCUCUCUGUAUGAGAACCACAUGUUAAUAGAUAUUUUUUUUCUAGUCUAAAUAUCUCCUUUUUUGUCCAAAGCAAAAACAAUUCAACUACAGCAACAGCUAGAAUGAAGUAAGCAAAAUAAAACUAAACAGCAACAUUGGCCCAUUUGAAUAUUAUUAAUUGUACGAGAGAAAACCAAUCAACGGCCCAUGCAAAACCAGGAAAUCAGAUUAUGUCUAUCUCACUUGAUCUAGGGUCCAAUUUACUUUUAUUAUUUGACUACAAAAUUUUCACUGUUUUCAUUUUCCACCUACUUCCAUGUAAUUCCAACACUACACUGCAUUCUUCUUGUCCUCUUAUUCAGGAAUGAAGCAUGCAUACCAGUUUUACACGGAUAGGUAGAGAUGGCCUGACAAACCAUUUUGGGACAAACAUAGAUGCAGCUUGUAGAGCAUUGUUCUUUACAGUGGAAUUAACAGUCAUGUCUUUAGAUUUGUUUUAUGCAUUCCAUUCUCUGAUGAGAUUGAAUGCCCAUCACUGGUGCAAAAAAGUUGUUCAUUUUCCUAUGACAGAACUUCCACUUUAAUUGCCAGAAAAGUCUGCAUUUCUCAGAGCUUCUCACCCCAGCAGGAUCUUCCUUCCAUAGCACUAACAAUUUCCACCUGCCUUUCCUCUUCAAAGUUAGCAGCUGUGGUUCUUCUGUACUGAACAUUAGUUGGGUACAAGACCACUGAGAGGUGAGCAAUAACUGCAAGAGCUAGUGCUGAGAUGUAGUGUCCAUAUGGACAAUAUACCUUAAUGUUAAGACCUGCCUUUACUGAGUUUGAUCCUGGCCCCAUGAGUCAAACUCUAGCUGUCAGGGGACUUGUUGUAAGUAAUGGUCAUUUGUGUUUCAUAAUUAUCUUGAAUAAACACAAUUAGUUCCACAUUCUGCUGUUUUCUUCCUAAGGCAUCUGUAAACAUUCUGUACUAUUCUAGCAAAUGGCUUUUGGCAAUCAUUAAAAAAAAAAAUCCAAAGCAAAGUGGUUCUCAGUGGAUCCUUUUAAUUUAUUCUAAGGAGCAUGCCCAGAGGAGUAAUGAGACUUACUAGACAGUAAUGGCAAAGGGAUAUUAUCUUUCACUUAGUUAACCAUCGUAACCCACUUUGAAGAAUCUCCAAUCACAGUCCUCAUGUGGUUAAAUUAGAACGCAGACUCAAAAAUUUUCACUUCAGGGUUUCUCCCAUAAGGAAACAUAGUGUAUUUGGUAUAGAAAUAAUGUAGGCGUUGUUCUUCCCUUCUCCCUUUGAAAAAGGAUAUCCAACAAAGCCAGCCAAAAGGGUUACUAAAAUGAAAAAGGAGUGCAGAAAUUUUCGACAGCACCAGGCAUUCAAAAAUCUGUUCUUUUCUCAGGGUUGCUGAUCCUCUGUAGCCUUUGGGCACUGGUCAAUUUACCUGUCCCCUCUGUGCCCCUUUUAUUUUCUCUGUGACAUAGGAGCAGAUAGCAUUUUUGCACUUCUGUAAUUCUAUUUAGACCAAAAGCAUUGCAAAUUCACAGUAAUACCAUCCCCUAUAUAAUAGUGGCACCAGGUUUUCAUAUGGUUAAGAUAACAGAAUAGUAUUUCCUCAAGAUAAUGGAGUCUUGUCUUAAAUUGUACAUUAGGAAAACAGAAAACCAGAAGUGCCAGCCCAUUAAAAAUUAAAAAAACCUUGCAAAAAAUCUGACUGAAUGAGGAGGAAUAAGCACUGCAGCCCUUGUUCUAGUAAGCAGGCAGUUAAAACCAUGAGGAAACUGUCGAUUGGUAAAAUUAGCUAAAAAGUUACUCUGAGUUUUUGCCCUACAUUUGGACUAUCAAAACUGAGGCAAACUUUUCAAAGCAAAUUGCUGAGGAUUGCCAAGUCAACAAGCUGUUCUGUGCUGCAAGGGACAUAUUUAUGGACAUACUUUCAACAAGACAUACCUAGUGCUACCAAGCUGUGCUGUACUAAAGAGCAGUAAGUAUCAGAUAAACUGAUUUUUUUUU